AUAGCCACCCUUUGAGAUGAGAACAAUGACACAUCCCAUAGGACGUGAAGGGUAACAUUCACUGGCCCCGCUGCCGGACUUCCUGUGAGCGAGGCAUUGCUCUAAGUGCUUUCCAACGAUCAACCCUUUUAAUUUGUCUUGGCUCCAGAACACCCAUCUAGGGCAGGCACCUCCGUACCCCUCCCUUACAGCGACACUGGGAGGCAAGGAAGGUGCUCCCGUCUGGGCAGCUGGUAAGUUGCGGCAAAGCUGGGAUCGCAACCCGGGCAGUCUGGCUCCAAAUCCGCGCUGGUGACCCUUGCGCCGCGCGGUCCGCGCAAGGGAGGACCAGCGGGGAAAGGCGUGGGGCUGCGCGUUCCGGGAUGAGACUCGCCCCCCACCCCCCCCCGCCCCCCACCCCCCCCAGGUUUUCCAAACAAUAUUCAGGAGAAGAUGCUGGAUUCGUCUUUCGUAAAUGUGCGGUGUUGCUGCUGUUCUCCGGAUCGAGCCAAUUUCACGGCAGGGUGCUCCAAGCAGGCUGCAGCCACGGAGCAGAAAGCCGAGAGAGAGAAAACAGCUGCGAGAGCCUUCCGUGUGCCAUCUGUCCCCAGAUUCACCCCGAGCAUCCCAGGACGUACCCUAGGCUGCUGGGCCCUGCGCCUCCCGAGCGUAACCUCGAGAAUAAGUGGGAAAACCCUUGGGGAGCCCAAUGGGGAGACAUUGCUGGAACCCGCUCUAAGCACCCUGCACCCCAGGCCAUGGCAGAUUGACGCACUGGAACAACCAGCAGACUCCUGCUUGCGUGCCUUGGACCAAAAUUGCAGGGAGGAAAGAAGCCGCAAGGACACAGAGUAAGUAAGUGGACAGAAGAAGGAGAAGGAGAAGGGAAGGAGGAGGAGGAGGAGAUGGAGGAGGAAGAGGAGGAGGGGGAGGAGAAGGAGGAGCUGAGUCCCAGCCAAAGGAAGAGCCUGUUCCCCCAUUCCCUCGAAGCUAGGCUGGCCUCGAGACAACAGAAUCUGGAGUGAGCUGCGUGCGUGAGUUUAGGAGCCCGGGCCUUGAGAGGCCUUUCAGCUUCUGCCUCUGCCCUCCUGGGACUCUGUCCGGAGCCCACCACGUACAGAAGCCCGGGCUGCCCUCCUGGAGGAUUAGAGACCACGCAGAGGGCGCGGCACCCAGCCCACGGCCAGCACCACCGCCGGCCGCAUGAGUGAGCGCCCAGGCCCUUCCCACCCCGCCGAUCUCGCAGCCAACGACAGCCACGUGUGUGAGCCCAGAAGACACAGCGGAGAAACCCCCCCAGACGAUCAUGGGAUAUCCCAGAUCAUUGUUCUAAAUCACCGAAUCGGGGCAGGGUUUUUUACGUGGAUAAACUGAUAGUUACAGACAUCAGCACUGGUGUCUGGGCGGUUUUCCGUAAUCCGGAGCUAAUUCGUGGGCGCCGGCGGCUGGAAGGACAGGGACGGGAUGGUCACCGGGAGUUGGCCCAACUUGGAGGCUGGAGAAAGGGGACCUGUUGUAUGGUGGACAACAAUUCCAAGACUAUCACCUACGGAUACUUGGAAGAUAGGAAAUGUCCCACAUGACCCUAGCUGGCUGACCCGGGAGCUUGCCAGGCAGAACGUGGAGACAGCCAGUGGACUUCCUUUGCCGUGUGCAAUAGGUAGAAAAAAGAAACGGCUUAAAAGAGCUCCGUUCGGUUGGCAAGCAGAAUUUGGAGGUAAUAGGAAACCAGCAAGAACACACUGAGUUGAAAAAUAAAACCCUUUCUUAUCCCGAGUCUCUCCUAGCA
ensembl:lncRNA